rnacentral:rRNA from 1 species
UACGAACCGUCCAACCGUUAUUCGGAAUUACUGGGCUUAAAGGGUGCGUAGGCGGCGCGGAAAGUUGGGUGUGAAAUCCCUCGGCUCAACCGAGGAACUGCGCCCAAUACUACCGUGCUUGAGGGAGAUAGAGGUGAGCGGAACUUAGGGUGGAGCGGUGAAAUGCGUUGAUAUCCUAAGGAACACCGGUGGCGAAAGCGGCUCACUGGAUCUCUUCUGACGCUGAGGCACGAAAGCUAGGGUAGCGAACGGG